AUUGAACGCUGGCGGCAGGCCUAACACAUGCAAGUCGAGCGAGCGGCGGACGGGUGAGGAAUGUAUGGGGACUGCCCGAUAGAGGGGGAUAACUACUGGAAACGGUAGCUAAUACCGCAUACUAUCGGAUAACCCAUAGUGGAUUAGCUAGUAGGUGAGGUAAUGGCUCACCUAGGCGACGAGCCCUAGCUGGUCUGAGAGGAUGAUCAGCCACACUGGGACUGAGACCCGGCCCAGACUCCUACGGAGGCAGCAGGUGUGAAUAUUGCACAAUGGUCGCAAGCCUGAUGCAUCCAUGCCGCGUGUAUGAAGAAGGCCCUAGGGUUGUAAAGUCCUUUCAGUCGGGAGGCGUUACCGACAGAAGAAGCACCGGCUAACUCCGUGCCAGCAGCCGCGGUAAAC
rnacentral:rRNA from 1 species